UGUUUUUGUGUCUCUUUGCUUUGUAAUGUAAUUGUCCUUCUGUCUUGUUACUGUACAGCGUUGACAUGGUUAAAUUCGUGCUGGCAGGCAGUCUCUCUCUUGUUCCACUCAAAUCCCCCUCUGCUAAAACCCCCCCCCCCUCCCCUCGCUUCUGUGAGACGCGGGGGGGGAGGGGGCGGAGGGGGUGGUGACAUGCUUGCGAUUUAG